rnacentral:rRNA from 1 species
GAUGAACGCUGGCGGCGUGCCUAACACAUGCAAGUCGAGCGGGAUUGUGGAGUAGCUUGCUACGAAGCAAUCUAGCGGCGGACGGGUGAGUAACGCGUGGGCAACCUGCCCUAUACAGGGGGAUAACACACCGAAAGGUGUGCUAAUACCCCAUAACACCGAUGCUUCGCAUGGAGUGUCGGUCAAAGAUUUAUCGGUAUAGGAUGGUCCCGCGUCUGAUUAGCUAGUUGGUGAGGUAACGGCUCACCAAGGCGACGAUCAGUAGCCGGCCUGAGAGGGUGAACGGCCACACUGGAACUGAGACACGGUCCAGACUCCUACGGGAGGCAGCAGUGGGGAAUAUUGCACAAUGGGGGAAACCCUGAUGCAGCGACGCCGCGUGAGCGAAGAAGGCCUUCGGUCGUAAGACUCUGUCCUAACGGGAAGAAACGGAACGGUACCUUAGGAGGAAGCCCCGGCGUAACUACGUGCCAGCAGCC